CGCAGCCGCGGUAAUUCCAGCUCCAAUAGCGUAUAUUAAAGUUGUUGCAGUUAAAAAGCUCGUAGUUGAAUUUCGGGAUCAAUUAAUUGGUCGUGCCUCUGGUACGUACUGAUUUUAUUGGUUUCUCCCUUCUGACGAACCAUGAUGUCAUUAAUUUGAUGUCGUGGAGAAUCAGGACUGUUACUUUGAGAAAAUUAGAGUGUUUAAAGCAGGCUCACGCUUGAAUACAUUAGCAUGGAAUAAUGAAAUAGGACGUUUGAUUCUAUUUUGUUGGUUUCUAGGAUCGACGUAAUGAUUAAUAGGGAUAGUUGGGGGCAUUAGUAUUCAAUUGUCAGAGGUGAAAUUCUUGGAUUUAUUGAAGACUAACUACUGCGAAAGCAUUUGCCAAGGAUGUUUUCAUUAAUCAAGAACGAAAGUUAGGGGAUCGAAGACGAUCAGAUACCGUCGUAGUCUUAACCAUAAACUAUGCCGACUAGGGAUCGGAUGAUGUUAAUUUUUAAUGACUCAUUC
rnacentral:rRNA from 1 species